rnacentral:lncRNA from 1 species
AUAAGACAUAUCUAAUCUUAAAGCACAUCACCCACAUUAGCACAUGAAGUUCUGCUGAGGAAUUUACUCAGUCCUUCUGAGCUUCAAGGAACAGGUUAAUUCCAAUGCCUUUGUCUGAAAAAAAAUGGAUCCUUCCUUUCUAGAGCUUUCCCUGGCAAUGACCAAUAUCACAAGAACAGAGCCCUUCUCAGACAGCAUUGCAUCAGCACGAGCAUAGGGCCAUGGCUGUCCAGGGAGUCAAGAAAACACAAAAUAUAAAAAACCUGAGAUUUGCAAGACAUUAUUCCCAAAAGUAGCCUCCUGGAUUCUUUUGCAUAAGACUGUUUGGGAUGGGCGACACGAUGCUUUGUUAACCCUGGAGGAAGGACAUCAUUGUCCUGCAGGAUGCUGGGUGUUGUUAUGAAUGCAAGAGCCAGCAGGGGAUGGUACAGAGGAUGCAGAGACCAACUCUCCCUAAGAGCUCAAAGCAGCUUCACAAGCAUUUGAACUGGGCCUUGAACAGUGAGCACAAAUUCUUCAGGCAAACAGAGAUGCUCUUCCCACAGAAUUCUGCAAAUCUUCCAGCCUGCUUUCUGGACCAGAGAAGCUUGGCUAAAGGAGCUGGACAUCGGGCAACCCCUCCCAUUUGGAUUGAGCCUCCAACAUUCAGAGGUUGCACCCCAUCAGUCUAAACAACAUUUUUUUUUGCGUGAUAGAAACACAGACCACAGAUUGGAAUUGUCUGUUUGUACUUAGAUGGGAAGUCCUAGCAGUUCUCAUCAACCCUUGAAGACGUUAAAAAUCACGCCACAGUUGGCCAACCGUCUGUUUACCUCUUGAAGAACUCUCUCAGAUGACAGUAAUCACAGGCAGGUUCUGAAUCACAGGCUGAUGUUAACAUGUACCAAGGCUAUACCCCCUGGAAAAGCCUAUUUCCAGCCUUCUGAGGCUACUUCAUUACUACCCUGGCUUUCCUGGCUCCUAAUGGUCAGGGUGGAGGGAGGGACGGAGGUAGGGGAGAUCUGGGAAGCCUGGUUAGCUAGAAGUUCCUGCCUUGUCACAGCACUAAUCCUGCAAUUUCUCCAUUGGAUUUCUGGACUGAUGAGCAAUUUUGAUGCUGAUAAGGCAGAAACACAAUCACUCUCCUGGGCCCUUGUAUUUUGCAGGGUAACUUGGAUAAUACACCCCAUCUCGGCACCUCUGCGAGUGUAACUCAUUUCCUCUGCCCAGAGGAGAAACAAGGACUCCUUGGACAAAACGGUGCUUCCUUUCAUAGCCAAUGAAUUGGGCAUUUCUCCAGGUUCUGUGAAGCUUAUUUAGUGACAUUCCCCAAAACCUGUGCCCCGAGAAGUUCCUUCUUCUCUGACUUUAGGUAGAGUCCGAGAUUCAUUUCAGUGAUUUGGCUAACAUGUAAAGUGUCUCACAUGUGAAAGAGAAUCAAAAUAACUUGAGCACAACAACAGACAAACAAAAGCAAUACUUGACCAAGACCUCUUGUACUUUUUCUGCUCUGGGACUCUCCAAGCACUGUUCACAAAUGCAGUGUAUGUGGAAAUCUAUGGUAUUGUUAUGAUCUGUCAGUGAUGGUGCAUAUUAAAACCCAGUUUUAGUUAAUAUUCACUCAUAGCCUUUGCUUGUUAAUAU